GAAGAUUUGCAUUGGGGCAUCUGCAUGUCUAAGGGGUCAGGCUCAGGGUUAGUUGACACCAGGGCGAGGAUGGAAACAGGGAAGAGGACAAUACCAGAAUCAGUCCUGAUGGCAGUUUGCAAAUUUCAAGACACAGAAGCUUUUUAGAAAGGUCUAUCACCCUUAAUCUCAGAACAUCAGGAAACAAUUACAGACACUUGAAUCCAAUGAAAAAUAAAAUCAUCUAAGAAAUAGAAGAUAUGAAGUAAAUGGAUUCUUAGCAGAAGAUAAAAAAACUUAAUUAUGAACUUAAGAGUAGAAUGGCAGAGACAGAGGAAAGACUUCAUGAACCAAAAAAUAUAAAAAGAAAAAUUAUUAUAUCUAAAGACACAGAAAAAAAUGACUUAAGAUUCAAUUGGAUUGCCAAAAAAUUUAACUUUCAUGUCACUGGAGUUUUGGAAGGAGGAUAAAAGAGACAAGCCUGAAAAAGUAUUCAAAGUAGUAACUGAAAACUUCCCAAAUUUGAUAUAAGAUGUAAACCUGCUGAAUCAAGAAGCUGAGAAAGUAUCAAAGAAGAUAAAUUCAAAUAAAUCUCACACCAAGGCACACUACAUUCAAAUUUGUGAAAUGUAAAGAAAAAAAAAGAGAGAAAUGACAUAUUAACUACAGGAGGAAAGAAAUUUGAUAGUGGAUUUCUCAUCAUAAAUCUUGGAGGCCAAAAGAAAGAGGAACAAUUUUUAAUAAUGAAAGUAAAGAAUUUUCAACCCAGAAUUAUGUACCUUAAAGAUAAUAUCAUUCAAAAAUGAAAAAAGAAGGAAACAUGAAGCACAACAAAGGAAUAAAGUGGUGGAUUCCUAAGGAUUUCCCAUCACUCUGUGGUAACUGUGUGGAGACUGUGUGUGUGUGUUUGGCAGGACUAAGCUUCUGAGGCCAGCAGGAGACACCAUUGGGAAGGAAAGAUAGAAGUCAAGCAGGAGAGAAUAAGGACAACCUGGGGCCUGCAAGGAUGAGUGAGAGCCCACAAGAAAACCAGAAGCUUCUCUUACUGCUUCUGAGCCUCCAACUUCAACAAUAGAGUUCCUACAGGAGAAAGUGGUACCGACUGUCAUGCACUUAUGUGAAAACCUGGCCCAUGAAUUGGAGAGAUGAAAGGAAGGAUCUAGUAGAGGGUGGAAGCUCUGUGGGCUUGGCUGAUGCCCCACACCAACCAGGUGAACCAGAAGACAUGACAUGCAUGAGCUACAGCAGUGCCUGGUGACCUACAUAGACCUGCAAAGCAUAAAAAGAAUAAGACCACUGCUUCCACCCUCUGAAUCUCCUGCAAGACCCCACAGUCAAACCCAGAAUUAUACAAUGAAGGGAACUCUGAAACAUAGUCCAAGUUUAGCUAAAGUAACAGAGGACAAGUUCACCAUACGCUGCCAUGAAAUGGAUGGCUUGUGGCUUCACUCAAAGUCAAACCUCAAACAAAUCCAUCUGAUAAGUGAGCUCUAAAUUAUAUAUGGACCACUACAUGCAAGGGGGUUUGGGUAACCCAAUUCUUUAAAUUUUGCAAAGAGGUACACUAGGAGAUUGGAAAAGAUGAGCUGUUACUAUAACCAAGAUUUAUUGAAUGCUUACUAUGCACUGCAUGCUGUGCUUAGUAUUUCAUGCAUAUUUUCUCAAUUAAUCCUCAAUAAUCUCAUGAAAUGAGAAGUAUCAUUAUUAUUUAUUAUCAUUAUUUUUCUGUUGCCUGUGUAGGCUCAUAGAAGAUAAAAUCACCAAAAAAGCAUUCUUUAUUCCAGACAUCUGCUUCCAGAGCUCAAACUCAGAACUCAAACUCUAAACCACAUUCUAUCAUCAUUAAGUACUUCUCUUGAUCAUUGCUACACUGCCAGGAACUAGUACAGUUCUUGAUACAUAGACCAUGCUCAAUAUUGUAAUUAUUGAACUCACCUCCACACAAUCACCAAAGACUUUAUUUCUUUAGUUUAGCCCUAUCCUAUUUCUCUUUUUAUUUCCUAGUAGUAACCUAAUAUAGGCCCAUGGCAUACAAUAUGUAUUUGUUAUCAAAUAGUGUUCACAGACCCAGUCAAAUCUAGUAAAGCCUGAAGAGUUGUCAGCAUUGUACACAUAAAGAUCUUGAGAAUCAGAAUCUUGUCCUUGAUGUUAUACCCUAAGAUUCUUGGAACUCAGAAUACCACAGAAAGUUUUGGGAAAUUCAGCAUAAUUAAAAAACUUCCAUAGUCAGAAAUCCACUCUCUUCCUUUAUCUCAAACCACAGACUAGAUACAUUUUCAUACCCAGAAUUGGUCAGGGAGGAAGAUUUGAAGAGAAUGCAGAGGAAAUGUAGUGUGGCUUAGAAGAAAACUAUUCUCUGUCCUCCCUUAGUUGAGUUCUUUGCAUUGACAGGGGAAUUCACAAAACCUCAGAUUGGUUGGGGAAUUGAAAAGCAGAUUACUUUCUUUGUGGAGAGGGAAUAUCCUGCAGAAGCAGAAAGACCUGAAGAGUGUCUGUUACCAACCUAGUAAUGUUACUGUGAAAAAAAAAAAUAUUUGUAUGGGUGUGCAAAAGUGAGUGGCAGAAUUUUUUGAAUCCUAAUGAGGUAUAGGAAGAGCCAAGUUUUACUUUUAUAUUCAAAAAGAACAUCUAAGUAAUGGAGAAAGAUAGAGACAUAAAAGGCACGAGAGUUAGGAUGGCAAGAUGGCGCCGUGUGUGUGGAUCCAUGACCAGGGAUCAGAUGGACACAAAGUUGCCCAGAAGAUGCUCACAUGUCCAGACUAGAAUUAACUCUACCUCACUUGACCUCUUGCUUGCAAAAUAUCACCCACAGUUAGACUUAAAUUUAGAAAUUAGGUGGAAAGAGAUAGCAACUGAUGAAGAUUUUGUUUUCAACUCCUAGUGACACCUAAAUUCCUGGCCACAUAAAAAUUCUGUUCUCAGAAAAAUUAAGUGAAAAUUUUUUUCACAUGUGAGUGAAAUUUUGGAUCAAAAUUCAAGUUCACUAUAAAAAGUGGACCAAAGAGGUCUACCAAUACUUAAAUAUUCAAAUAAAAUGUCUUUUUAAGCUUCCAACUUUUUAAGUUCUAUGUAGUAAAAUCUAUCAAGAGAAAAAUUAAAUUCAUACUGGUUAUUUUAAUAUAAAAUUGUUUGACCAACACCACUGUUAUUAUUAUAAUGAAAACUUUGAUGCUAAGAAAUGUGAAUCUUUUUUAAUUGCUCUGGCAUAAACAAUUUUAUCAUUGCCUCUGAAGUAAGUACAGAGUAGCACUGCUAGCUUGCUUUCUUUCAUUUAUCCAUUCAACAGAUAUUAAUGCAUACCUAAUAUGUCAAGAACCAAGUUCACAGAAUAACAUGGCAGCCAAAAGCAAUAUAGGAAUCAGUACUCAAGGCUAGUGAAAGAAAAAUAAUAAUUACAGGGCCAUGAAUAACCUAUUGUUUUUGUUACUUUACCUUUUAAUAUUUACUGAGAACCUAUAAAGUGCCAAUCACUACUAAGUGCAUACAUGCAUUAUGAAAAAAUGUCCAUGCCCAGGUCACUUUAGCAAAUGAAAUUAUUUCAGUUUCAGAUCACCACUCUCUUAUACUCUCUUGCAUAGCAUCUUCCUAUUUUCUGUUUCUUAUCAACAAGAAGAACAUAGCUUGUUAAAUGGUUCUCAUUACAACAUAUGAAAUCCGGCACCAUUCUGAUUAAAUCAUGGGUUAAUCUAAAUUCAUUUAAACUUGGGCAGUUCACAAACAUGGCCAUCAGACUUGAAAGGGCUACACUCUAUCUAGAUCACAAUUUGUUCAGGCACACAGGAAUGGUGUUUCCCACCUAAGCACCUACUUUUAAUACUCUCAGCCCUACAGAUGUGCAACAUUGCACUUCAGCUGCAGAAUGUGCUUUCACCAAGGCUCCAGUACCCUCCAAGUUUGCUAGAGGGAUACAGUAAGAAAACUCUUGAACCUGCCUGAAGCUGUUCAUAACUGACACCAAUCUGCAUACUUAGAUCUUUACUUCCACUGAGGGCCAGAUAAGAUAGUUAUGUGAGCAAGAUUUUCAUACAUCCUAUAAUACCAUAUAAAUGGGCACCCUUAUUAAGAUACUUCUACAUCAAGCUCUUCUGGACCAGAAUGGUAACUGUCUCAGGACUGAAAUAGCCUCCAACAUUUUUUAGCUGAAUUUGACUUAUUAACUAUUUUGUUUUUCUACUAGACCCUAAGUGGUAGUAUGUUAAGAAACUAGUUCAUUAUUAUAUCCUAUAUCUGUGGAAAGUAAGUUUUUGACAAGAGCCAGUUCAAGACAAAUGAAACUUCAUGCAGGCUUCAAAAAGUCAUUAAAGAAGUGAAGUCAAUUUUUUUUUUUUUACCAGCCAUACAACCAAUAAUUCUGAGCAGCAGCUGAAAUUUAGUACAUUCUGUUUAAGGCAACAUUUAUGGACAGGUUCUCAGAAAAGAAAGAUAAACGUGAUGAGCCCUACAUCCUCCAUACUUAACUUUCUCAUGGCUCUUAAGUCUGCAUUCUUUUUGGUUCAAUCACAGUCCUAGGAAUGACACCAUCACUGCCAGUUUCCUGAAAUAAUCAGCCUCCCAGGCCAGAUAGAGACUAGGCAGCUGCACAACUCUCUUAUGAUUCUCAAUGGCAGAGGGUCACACAGGGCCAUGACCUGGCAUCACACACAGGGCCUUCCAUUCUGCAGACUAUACCUCUAGCUUCCAAACUGAGGACAAGCAAUUAUUUAAAACUAUUUUUCUGGUUACCUUGAAGACCCUCUGUCCCAAUUUCUUUUCUUCGUGUUAGUUAAAAAGCAGGGCUCACAAUUGGUUUGAAGUACAGAACUAAAGGCCACUUGCUCAGAUUGUUGGUGGCUUUUAAGAUGACUAAAGUUUUUAAGUAUAAACAUACAGAAUCAUAAAAUAAAACUAGCACCAAGGUCAACAAUCUUUGCUAUCUUGACACUGCUGUCAAGCUAGAAGGCAGGAGAAAGUUUUGAAUCCUUAAUACUUAUCUGAGAAGGCCCUUGGCAGCCUUUAUCAUCACAAUAUUUGAAUUUCUGUUAUCAAAGUGAGGACCCUUACCAAUCUUCAGUGCAUUGAGGGAAUUUAGUUUACCUAAAGAAUAAAAUUAAGUUUGAAAAAAAUAUUCUAACGUAAAGAGGAUACCCAAUAGCUGAGUUAUCAAAGACAAAAAGAAACAUUGAGGUUUGAGGUCAGAGAAAGCAUUCAUAGGAGGAGUCCUUCUUUGGGUGUGAAGGGAACAAAGACCACAGAGCUGAAAUCAAUGCAGCCCUACAGCUUCAAGUAUGCUGAACAAGUUCUGGGGAUCCUGGGAAGAAAAUGUAUAGGAGAUUAAGAGCUUCCUAAUAAAAAAUGACUGAAUUUGAACAUGUCAAGGGGAAGGGAAAGCAGAGGAACUCAAAGAAACUGAGAUUUUUCUCUCAAAACCUUCUAAGGAAAAGGUUGUUGUUAUUACUGCUUGCUCUUUCCUAUCUCAGCAGCCUGGCUGGGAAGCAAUGGAGUCAGCAAGAAAAACACAAUGCGACCUUCUGUUCUAGGGGAAGUGGGAAAAAAAGAAGUCCAAGGUUGCCUCCUUCUUACCCACUCCUGAGGCACAUUUUCAUGCUAUUGUUGGACUUUGCAGUUUUCCUUCUGGUUGCCAUGGCAUCAGAGACACAAAUGCCUUCUUCCACUUUAAAACUGAAUUCCCUUACAAACAAAAUUGUUUCCAUUUGAGAAUAUUCUCACCCUCACACCCAUCAGAACUGCUUUCAAAAGAAAGAAUGUGUCUUUUUAAAAUAUGGAUGAAAUGCAUUGCCUUCUUCUGAUUAUAAGAGGAACAUAUUUUUAUUUUGAAAAUGCAGGGGAAAUUGUUUUUUUAAAUGGAAGAAAUUGCCCUAAGAGCUUUUUACCUGAUGACCAUAUAAGUGGCA